rnacentral:rRNA from 1 species
UACGUAGGGUGCAAGCGUUGUCCGGAAUUAUUGGGCGUAAAGAGCUCGUAGGCGGUUUGUCGCGUCUGCUGUGAAAACUCAGGGCUUAACCCUGAGCCUGCAGUGGGUACGGGCAGACUAGAGUGUGGUAGGGGAGAUCGGAAUUCCUGGUGUAGUGGUGGAAUGCGCAGAUAUCAGGAGGAACACCGGUGGCGAAGGCGGAUCUCUGGGCCAUAACUGACGCUGAGGAGCGAAAGCAUGGGGAGCGAACAGG